GGGAAUGUAGCUUAGUGGCAGAGCACUUGCCUAGCAUGUGUAAGGCCCUGGGUUCAAUUCUUAGCAUGUCCA
rnacentral:tRNA from 1 species